AGGGUGUUAACUGUAAUUACA
rnacentral:siRNA from 1 species